CCAAAGAAGAUACAACACCCCAUACUUCACCAAAGGAGAGAGAAAUGACAUCAUGUGGACUGAAUGAGUUUGAUUCAAGUCAUUCCAACCUCAAGCACAUGGCGUGACAACAACUGUACUGUGCAGUCAGCACCGGUCUCAUCAGCAUCGCACCGGUUUCCUUUGUUUGAGACAGAAAGGGUUUGCGGAUGAAGAGAAAUGGCUUAAGCUCUAUCAGCCUCUUCUGGUUGAAAGAAGCAUUACAUCGUCAAAACAUGAAAGGAAUAUUCCAAGGCAAGGAAUGCAGCUUUAGCAUUGAGGAGGCAAAUGUUACCUGCGGGAGCAAAGGGCAAUCUGUGCUCCAGUUCGGAGAGAUCGGUGCUCAUUCGUUUGCUGUCGGAGGAAGCCAAACAAUGUGGUCUGCCAGAAAG